CCUGGGCCUCGUUGAGCUGCCAGAGGCCGACGACAGAGGUGGGCCGUUCGGACGCGAGGUGGAACGCGUUGACGAAUGUGGAGUGGCGGUGGUUGUACACGCGCACGGUGCCACGCUCGUCCACGCCCACCAGCAGCGGCCGGAACGGGUGGUGCAGCAGCGCAGCCACGCCGCGGCACUCAAAGUUCACCGUCGUCACGUGCUCCCGCAGCCGCGCGUUGCGGCCCACCGCCCUGCGCCGCGCACAAACUUGAAGGUCAAAGAAAAUUGCCAAUUUGCGUGGUCAAUUCUACUAAUCGCCCAUGGUGUAUGUAUUCAGUGCACGCGAUGACAGUAUGUGCUGAUCAAUUUUUUCGGACAGGCAUGCCCUCCAGCCAUUCCUCACAGCUGCCACUUUGACGCACCAUUGGUGCUAUAACAAGAGGAAGCAUGGGUUCAGCCUCUAAUAUAAGACUAUACAGUCAGUGCAAGGGCGCGCUGUGCCGGUCAGCCUCCUGCCCUACAAAGAGCAUCACUGACAUUACAAGUCCAGGCAAAGCAAUCCAGGCAAAGGAGGUUGGCGCACAUGCAGGCCUGGCGUUUCUCCUCCCGCUCCUUUAGGCGGCCGGCCGUCCUGGAGGGAUCGUGCGUGGAGAACGGGCUCUGCCCGGCGCUGCCCAGCGCUGCAAACUCCAGCUCACCCUCAUAACCCCCCGGUG
rnacentral:lncRNA from 1 species